CUGACUCAUCAACAAAAACUAUACACAAAACUACAAGAUGGAUCUUCUUAUGGGCUGUACCCAUCAGCUUUGACACAGAAUAUUGAGAUAUCAGGUAACAUAAACAGAGACACCAGAAUGCCUGUUUCAAGUUCGGUGUCAACAACAUGAUGUUAUGCUUACGAUGCCACCAUGUUAUUAUGUAAUGUGUCCUUAUGGCAAAAACCGAGGUUAUGAAUGUUGGUCUUUCAAAACUCACCAAAAGGUUGUUGGUGGCUACAUUAAGCCCGAAGAAGAUGAACAGAAUGACAGGAUCUCACUUCAUGCUGAUGACUCUGGUAGAAUACUUCACAUGAAAAAUGAAGAACUCAGAGUUUUAAAGCUUGUUGAGAUGUCAGAUGGAAAGGAAAGACAACUGGUUGAUGACUUUGUGAUUAAAUGUCAUGAACAAUCAAAGGUGUUUAGAUUUUUGAAUCCAUUUCUCUUAAUAUUGCUUUUUAACAUACUGGAUUA
rnacentral:sRNA from 1 species